GAUGAGCGCUGGCGGCGUGCCUAACACAUGCAAGUCGAACGAAGAGGCCCCUUCGGGGGUACUUCAGUGGCGAACGGGUGAGUAACACGUGGGUAAUCUGUCCUGUACUUCGGGAUAAGCCUGGGAAACUGGGUCUAAUACCGGAUAUGACCUUCCUCCGCAUGGUGGGGGUGGAAAGUUUUGGCGGUACGGGGUGGGCCCGCGGCCUAUCAGCUUGUUGGUGAGGUAAUGGCUUACCAAGGCGG
rnacentral:rRNA from 1 species